UACAGAGGGUGCGAGCGUUAAUCGGAAUUACUGGGCGUAAAGCGCGCGUAGGCGGCUUUGCAAGUCGGGUGUGAAAUCCCCAGGCUUAACCUGGGAACUGCAUUCGAGACUGCAUUGCUAGAGUAUGGGAGAGGGAAGUGGAAUUUCCGGUGUAGCGGUGAAAUGCGUAGAUAUCGGAAGGGACAUCAGUGGCGAAAGCGACUUCCUGGACCAAUACUGACGCUCAUGUGCGAAAGCGUGGGGAGCAAACAGG
rnacentral:rRNA from 1 species